UACGUAGGCAGCGAGCGUUGUUCGGAGUUACUGGGCGUAAAGAGUGCGUAGGCGGUUUUCUAAGUUUGGUGUGAAAUCUCCCGGCUUAACUGGGAGGGUGCGCCGAAAACUGGAAGGCUUGAGUAUGGGAGAGGUAAGCGGAAUUCCUGGUGUAGCGGUGAAAUGCGUAGAUAUCAGGAAGAACACCCGUGGCGAAGGCGGCUCUCUGGGACGGUACUGACGCUGAGACGCGAAAGCGUGGGGAGCGAACAGG
rnacentral:rRNA from 1 species